UUCUGUUACUCCUAUUGUCUAAAAUCUGGGUGGAGACAGUCUAAUUCUAAAUUCCAUAAAUUUGUCAUUAUCAGCCCAAUCAUAAACAGGAGUUCACUAUGAGAAGUCUGCAAUGAUGGGUUGAGAAUGUGCCCUCCACAGCAUCAUCUGUUAUCACCAGUCUGGAACCACUUAAGUAAACAGGAAGAAGAGAAGGUUCACCUACUAAAAUGGAAGAAAAUGAGAGGAUUUUGAAGAUAACUUCUUUGCACAAAUGGAGCAAGCAAAUUCCCUCAAGACAAUGAGCGAAUGAGGAGGCAGCACAACCACGUCCAGGAGCCCCUCUGCCACUGAACUCCUAAGAUCUCAGGGAAGCCAAAGCCACGACAAGAUCUGAAAAGUAUCCCAUGAGCUCGGAGGCCGUUGUAGCUUUUACAUAUUUACUCUUCUGUACCA